CCUACGGGCGACAGCAGUGAGGAAUAUUGGUCAAUGGACGAGAGUCUGAACCAGCCAAGUAGCGUGAAGGAUGACUGCCCUAUGGGUUGUAAACUUCUUUUAUCUGGGAAUAAAAUGUUCCACGUGUGGGAUUUUGUAUGUACCCUAUGAAUAAGGAUCGGCUAACUCCGGGCCAGCAGCCGCGGUAAUACGGAGGAUCCGAGCGUUAUCCGGAUUUUUUGGGUUUAAAGGGAGCGUAGGGGGAUUGUUAAGUCAGUUGUGAAAGUUUGCGGCUCAACCGUAAAAUUGCAGUUGAAACUGGCAGUCUUGAGUACAGUAGAGGUGGGCGGAAUUCGUGGUGUAGCGGUGAAAUGCUUAGAUAUCACGAAGAACUCCGAUUGCGAAGGCAGCUCACUGGACUGCAACUGACACUGAGGCUCGAAAGUGUGGGUAUCAAACAGGAUUAGAUACCCCAGUAGUC
rnacentral:rRNA from 1 species